AUUGAACGCUGGCGGCAGGCCUAACACAUGCAAGUCGAACGAGUGGCGGACGGGUGAGUAAUGUCUGGGAAACUGCCCGAUGGAGGGGGAUAACUACUGGAAACGGUAGCUAAUACCGCAUACCAUCAGAUGAACCCAUAUGGGAUUAGCUUGUAGGUGGGGUAAAGGCUCACCUAGGCGACGAUCCCUAGCUGGUCUGAGAGGAUGACCGGCCACACUGGAACUGAGACACGGUCCAGACUCCUACGGGAGGCAGCAGUGGGGAAUAUUGCAAAAUGGGCGCAAGCCUGAUGCAGCCAUGCCGCGUGUAUGAAGAAGGCCUUCGGGUUGUAAAGUACUUUCAGCGGGGAGGCGUUACCCGCAGAAGAAGCACCGGCUAACUCCGUGCCAGCCGCCGCGGUAAUUC
rnacentral:rRNA from 1 species